UACGUAGGGGGCAAGCGUUGUCCGGAUUUAUUGGGCGUAAAGCGCUCGCAGGCGGUCCCGUGCGUCGUGCGUGAAAGGCCCCGGCUCAACCGGGGGCGGUCGUGCGAUACGGCGGGACUGGAGGCCAGUAGGGGGACGCGGAAUUCCGGGUGUAGCGGUGGAAUGCGUAGAGAUCCGGAAGAACACCGGUGGCGAAGGCGGCCU
rnacentral:rRNA from 1 species